AUUGAACGCUGGCGGCAUGCCUUACACAUGCAAGUCGAACGGUAACGCGGGGCAACCUGGCGACGAGUGGCGAACGGGUGAGUAAUGCAUCGGAACGUGCCCAGUAGUGGGGGAUAGCCCGGCGAAAGCCGGAUUAAUACCGCAUACGACCUACGGGUGAAAGCGGGGGACCGUAAGGCCUCGCGCUAUUGGAGCGGCCGAUGUCAGAUUAGGUUGUUGGUGGGGUAAAGGCCUACCAAGCCGACGAUCUGUAGCUGGUCUGAGAGGACGACCAGCCACACUGGGACUGAGACACGGCCCAGACUCCUACGGGAGGCAGCAGUGGGGAAUUUUGGACAAUGGGGGCAACCCUGAUCCAGCCAUGCCGCGUGCGGGAAGAAGGCCUUCGGGUUGUAAACCGCUUUUGUCAGGGAAGAAACGCUCUGAGUUAAUACCUCGGGGUAGUGACGGUACCUGAAGAAUAAGCACCGGCUAACUACGUGCCAGCCGCCGCGGUAACAC
rnacentral:rRNA from 1 species